ensembl:snRNA U6 U6 spliceosomal RNA
ACAUUUUGGCAACGUGUGUAAUAAAAUUGGAAGGAUAUAGAGAAAACUAGCAAUGGCCUCCACAAAAUGAUGACACAUGAAACAAAGUUCACAAAAUGUUC